UUAGCCGCCACAUGUCGAGUUGUGAUUGGUUUGUGAAAUCACCACCCAACUUUUUUUUUCUCUUUUCUCUUUCUUCCUCGACGAAACCUCUUCCUUCUCCCUAUCGCUUUCACCGUCGUCUUCACCGAUACUCGCCGUUUCCGAUCAAAGAUUGAAUUCUAUCAAUGGAUCCAGCCGUCAUAUCCAACCCGAAUAGAAACUAAACCCGGUCCGUACGCCUAGUUCCGGAUCUUUUCUUCCUCGAGCAACAGUGGACCGAGUCCGAGUCUUUUGGUAAGAGAGAAGAGAGAAGGCGGCUUCGUUCACCACGCCGUCAAGCUGUCUCAGGGCACCCUACUCCGUUCACCUCGCCGCUUUGGCUCGUCGAGUUCCCGAAGAAUUGUGGGCAAUGAAAUUGGGAUUGAGACUAUUGUAAGAGAGAUCUAAUGGAGAUUCUUUCUGGUGGCCAUACAUUAGCAAUUUCCUGGAAACUUAUUCCGUUCCAAUAUUCUUUCCCGGAGAAGAUAUAAAGAAUUUGCAAUAUGCUCCUCUUCUCCACCAGAUUAGAUAGACAAAACUGCUGAACCUAAUCGAGUUUGAGUCUCACUCUUUAGCAAUUCCAUUAGAUGAUUUGCGGCUUUGUUGCCUUCUUUGGGACCAGGUCAAUAAAAGAUUCCCUUUUGCUUCCUGAGUUUGAGCAAGAGAUUAGGAGUACUCUUGAAGAUGUUAAGGCCAGUGAUCAUCCUUUCAGCGGCCAAGAUGUAAAUGCAUCCGCCCUCGGGUCGACCAUGUCAGCUGUUUCGACUAGAGCUUUUCACUUACAUGGUGAUAAAAGCUUCAAGGUGGAUCUUCUGAUGAUGUUCCCAUGAUGCUUCCUCUGAUAGAUAUGUGCAACCACAGCUUCAAACCAAAUGCACGGAUCAUUCAAGAACAGAACGGAGCUGACUCGAACACCCUAGUUAAGGUUGUUGCAGAGACUGAAGUAAAAGAAAACAAUCCCUUAUUUCUCAAUUAUGUUCUGUUAAGUUUGGUUGUUUUCAAAUAUAAAAAUGUUGUAAAAAAACUUCUUUUAUAUAAAUUUUUUUUUAAAAAAAAAAAUUCCAUUUGAGU